AUUGAACGCUGGCGGCAUGCCUUACACAUGCAAGUCGAACGGCAGCGCGGGGCAACCUGGCGGCGAGUGGCGAACGGGUGAGUAAUAUAUCGGAACAUACCCUAGAGUGGGGAUAACGUAGCGAAAGUUACGCUAAUACCGCAUACGCACUAAGGUGGAAAGUGGGGGAUCUUCGGACCUCAUGCUCAUGGAGUGGCCGAUAUCUGAUUAGCUAGUUGGUGAGGUAAAGGCUCACCAAGGCGACGAUCAGUAGCUGGUUUGAGAGAACGACCAGCCACACUGGAACUGAGACACGGUCCAGACUCCUACGGGAGGCAGCAGUGGGGAAUUUUGGACAAUGGGGGCAACCCUGAUCCAGCAAUGCCGCGUGAGUGAAGAAGGCCUUCGGUUGUGAAGCUCUUUUGUUCUAGGGAAGAAACGGUAGAG
rnacentral:rRNA from 1 species